AGUGCCGGUGGGCUGCGAGCGUCAAUAGUGCUGCAACGGAGCUUCACCGGCGCAUUGCCGGGGUCAUGAGGAUGCAGAGGAACUCCGGUGCUGCAAUGGAGCUUCAACGGUGCCGGCGGUGAUGCAUUGCAACUUUGUCUCACCGUCGGGGGUUUCAAUGGAGCUCACCGUGGGGUUGUUGUUAGGGGCUGUACUCGAUAUUGCCACCCGGAUAGCACCCGACAACGCCGGUGGUGCGUCAGAUCAGACGUCAACUGCGCCAGAUCGAACGGUUGGCUGGGCGGAAGAUCUCCAGGAGAAAUCAUCCGCCUGGUCCGUAGCAGUCGUCUUUCUGGAAAACAUUUAUUUAAGUCUGAUGAAAACAGGCAAGCAUAAGCCGCCUUCCUCGCACAACACGUGUCAUAUGGACCCACCGAUCGCUCCUCACAUC
rnacentral:lncRNA from 1 species